rnacentral:rRNA from 1 species
UCCUACGGGAGGCAGCAGUGGGGAAUAUUGGACAAUGGGGGCAACCCUGAUCCAGCCAUGCCGCGUGAGUGAUGAAGGCCUUAGGGUCGUAAAGCUCUUUCGCCUGUGAAGAUAAUGACGGUAGCAGGUAAAGAAACCCCGGCUAACUCCGUGCCAGCAGCCGCGGUAAUACGGAGGGGGUUAGCGUUGUUCGGAAUUACUGGGCGUAAAGCGCACGUAGGCGGAUCGGAAAGUUGGGGGUGAAAUCCCGGGGCUCAACCCCGGAACUGCCUCCAAAACUAUCGGUCUAGAGUUCGAGAGAGGUGAGUGGAAUUCCGAGUGUAGAGGUGAAAUUCGUAGAUAUUCGGAGGAACACCAGUGGCGAAGGCGGCUCACUGGCUCGAUACUGACGCUGAGGUGCGAAAGUGUGGGGGGCAAACAGGAUUAGAUACCCUGGUAGUCCACACCGUAAACGAUGAAUGCCAGUCGUCGGGUAGCAUGCUAUUCGGUGACACACCUAACGGAUUAAGCAUUCCGCCUGGGGAGUACGGUCGCAAGAUUAAAACUCAAAUGAAUUGACGG